rfam:Schistosoma curassoni strain Dakar, Senegal genome assembly, scaffold: SCTD_scaffold0002968
AUUAGUCCCAAAUAGGACGAAACACGUGUCCUGGAU